rnacentral:rRNA from 1 species
UGAGGAAUAUUGGUCAAUGGACGCAAGUCUGAACCAGCCAAGUAGCGUGCAGGAUGACGGCCCUAUGGGUUGUAAACUGCUUUUAUAUGGGGAUAAAGUGGGGAACGUGUUCCCUUUUGCAGGUACCAUAUGAAUAAGGACCGGCUAAUUCCGUGCCAGCAGCCGCGGUAAUACGGAAGGUUCGGGCGUUAUCCGGAUUUAUUGGGUUUAAAGGGAGCGUAGGCCGUUUGGUAAGCGUGUUGUGAAAUGUAGGAGCUCAACUUCUAGAUUGCAGCGCGAACUGUCAGACUUGAGUGCGCACAACGUAGGCGGAAUUCAUGGUGUAGCGGUGAAAUGCUUAGAUAUCAUGAAGAACUCCGAUUGCGAAGGCAGCUUACGGGAGCGCAACUGACGCUGAAGCUCGACGGUGCGGGUAUCGAACAGG